rnacentral:rRNA from 1 species
AGCGAACGCUGGCGGCAGGCCUAACACAUGCAAGUCGAACGAACUCUUCGGAGUUAGUGGCGGACGGGUGAGUAACACGUGGGAACGUGCCCUUUGGUACGGAAUAACUCAGGGAAACUUGAGCUAAUACCGUAUGUGCCCUUCGGGGGAAAGAUUUAUCGCCAUUGGAGCGGCCCGCGUCUGAUUAGCUAGUUGGUGAGGUAAAGGCUCACCAAGGCUACGAUCAGUAGCUGGUCUGAGAGGAUGAUCAGCCACAUUGGGACUGAGACACGGCCCAAACUCCUACGGGAGGCAGCAGUGGGGAAUCUUGCGCAAUGGGCGAAAGCCUGACACAGCCAUGCCGCGUGAAUGAUGAAGGUCUUAGGAUUGUAAAAUUCUUUCACCGGGGACGAUAAUGACGGUACCCGGAGAAGAAGCCCCGGCUAACUUCGUG